rnacentral:rRNA from 1 species
AUUGAACGCUGGCGGCAUGCCUUACACAUGCAAGUCGAACGGCAGCGGACCUUCGGGUGCCGGCGAGUGGCGAACGGGUGAGUAAUAUAUCGGAACGUACCUUUCAGUGGGGGAUAACGUAGCGAAAGUUACGCUAAUACCGCAUAUUCUGUGAGCAGGAAAGCAGGGGAUCGCAAGACCUUGCGCUGAUUGAGCGGCCGAUAUCAGAUUAGCUAGUUGGUGAGGUAAAGGCUCACCAAGGCGACGAUCUGUAGCGGGUCUGAGAGGAUGAUCCGCCACACUGGAACUGAGACACGGUCCAGACUCCUACGGGAGGCAGCAGGGGGGAAUUUUGGACAAUGGGCGCAAGCCUGAUCCAGUCAUGCCGCGUGAGUGAAGAAGGCC